AACAAGGCGUACCUGCGGACCUGCGGAAGGAUCAUUACCGAGUUUACAACUCCCAAACCCCUGUGAACAUACCACUUGUUGCCUCGGCGGAUCAGCCCGCUCCCGGUAAAACGGGACGGCCCGCCAGAGGACCCCUAAACUCUGUUUCUAUAUGUAACUUCUGAGUAAAACCAUAAAUAAAUCAAAACUUUCAACAACGGAUCU
rnacentral:misc_RNA from 1 species